rnacentral:tRNA from 1 species
GCGGGCGUAGUAUAACGGCUAUCACGUGAGCUUCCCAAGCUUGAAACGAGGGUUCGACUCCCUCCGCCCGCACCA